GCCUGGUUAGCUCAGUGGGUUAGAGUGUGGUGCUGAUAACACCAAGGUUGCAGGUUCGAUCCCCGUUCAGUCC
rfam:Apaloderma vittatum contig9978, whole genome shotgun sequence.